rnacentral:rRNA from 1 species
AUACGGAGGAUCCGAGCGUUAUCCGGAUUUAUUGGGUUUAAAGGGUGCGCAGGCGGCCAUUUAAGUCAGCGGUUAAAUCGUGGGGCUCAACCCCAUUCUGCCGUUGAUACUGGGUGGCUUGAUUGCGGUCGAGGUUGGCGGAAUUCGUUGUGUAGCGGUGAAAUGCAUAGAUAUGACGAAGAACACCGAUUGCGUAGGCAGCUGACCAGACCGCAAAUGACGCUCAUGCACGAAAGGGCGGGGAGCGAACAGGAUUAGAUACCCUGGUAGUCCGCACAGUAAACGAUGAAUACUUGUUUUCGGCGAUAUAAUGUCGGAGGCAAAGCGAAAGCGAUAAGUAUUCCACCUGGGGAGUACGCCGGCAACGGUGAAACUCAAAGGAAUUGACGGG